rnacentral:rRNA from 1 species
UGAAUAGGAGGGGCUACGGCACCGAAGUGGUUGAUGUCAGACUUCCAAGAAAAGCUUGCACUGUCAUAAAUAGAAAAUGCCUGUACCAUAACCGACACAGGUGGGUAGGUAGAGUAUACUAAGGGGCGCGAGAUAACUCUCUCUAAGGAACUCGGCAAAAUGACUCCGUAACUUCGGGAGAAGGAGUGCCUUAUUUAUAAGGUUGCAAUAACAAGAUCCAAGCAACUGUUUAUCAAAAACACAGGUCUCCGCUAAGUCGUAAGACGAUGUAUGGGGGCUGACGCCUGCCCAGUGCCAGAAGGUUAAAGAAGUUGGUUAGUGUAUGCGAAGCUGAUGACUGAAGCCCUGGUGAACGGCGGCCGUAACUAUAACGGUCCUAAGGUAGCGAAAUUCCUUGUCGGGUAAGUUCCGACCCGCACGAAAGGCGUAAUGAUUUGGAUACUGUCUCGGAGAGAGGCUCGGUGAAAUAGACUUGUCUGUGAAGAUGCGGACUACCUGCACCAGGACAGAAAGACCCUAUGAAGCUUUACUGUAACUUGAAAUUGGAAUUGGACUUUGCUUGCGCAGUAUAGGUGGGAAGCGUUGAAGAUAUUCUUGCGGGAGUAUUGGAGCUAUCAGUGAGAUACCACUCUUGUAAUGUUAGAUUUCUAACUUUGAACCAUAAUCUGGUCAAAGAACAGUUUCAGGUGGGCAGUUUGACUGGGGCGGUCGCCUCCCAAAUGGUAACGGAGGCGUACAAAGGUUUCCUCUGAACGGAUAGAAAUCGUAUCUAGAGUGUAAAGGCAUAAGGAAGCUUGACUGUGAGACCUACAAGUCGAGCAGGGACGAAAGUCGGUCUUAGUGAUCUGACGGUACUGAGUGGAAAGGCCGUCACUCAACGGAUAAAAGUUACUCUAAGGAUAACAGGCUGAUCUCCCCCAAGAGUUCACAUCGACGGGGAGGUUUGGCACCUCGAUGUCGGCUCAUCGCAUCCUGGGGCGGUAGUACGUCCCAAGGGUUGGGCUGUUCGCCCAUGAAAGCGGUACGCGAGCUGGGUUCAGAACGUCGUGAGACAGUUCGGUCCAUAUCCGGUGUAGGCGUUAGAAUAUUGAGAGGAGCCUUCUUUAGUACGAGAGGACCGAGAAGGACACACCGCUGGUGUACCAGUUAUCGUGCCAACGGUAAACGCUGGGUAGCUAUGUGUGGAGUGGAUAACCGCUGAAAGCAUCUAAGUGGGAAGCCCACCUCAAGAUGAGUAUUCUCAUCACUAUAAGUGAGUAAGGUCACGGUAAGACUAACCGUUUGAUAGGCAUUAAGUGUAAAUGUAGUAAUGCAUGUGCUGAGAUGUCCUAACAGACCGAGGAC